AAAAACUAUAGUUUUACACCGUUUAUGUCUAACGUUUGACCGUUCGUUUUAUUUGAAAAUUUUUUAUGGUUAGCAUUUUUAUUGUUAUUAGGUAAUAAAACAUAAAUAAUAUUUUAUGUGUAACUAUUUUUGUAAAAAAUAUAUUUUUUAAAUAAGAUGGACAACCAAAUAUUGGAUUUGGAAACUUAUAUCAGUAUUUAAA
rnacentral:pre_miRNA from 1 species